GUUUGUUGCUGCAAAUCAUAUUUGUUUUAGUGGUAUUGGGUUUUGUUAGUGAUGAGGGCCGUAUCAUUACAAAUAAUUGCUUAUAUGAUGUUUUCCAUUCGUUUGAUGUGUUUGUUAAUUUGACGUUUGAUAAGGGACUUACCGAUUUUAAUUUGACGUUUGAUAAGGGAUUUACCGAUUUUAAUUUGACGUUUGAUAAGGGACUUACCGAUUUUGAUUUGACGUUUGAUAAGGGACUUACCGUUUUUAAUUUGACGUUUGAUAAGGGACUAACGUUUUUAAUUUGACGUUUGAUAAGGGACUUACCGUUUUUAAUUUGACGUUUGAUAAGGGACUUACCGUUUUUAAUUUGACGUUUGAUAAGGGACUUACCGUUUUUAAUUUUCCUUGGAGUGCGGUAUUUUUUUUUAUUUUAAUUUUUUUUGCUAAUGUCUAAGUCUUUGGUCUCUGGUGGAGUAUUGCCUUAUUGCCAAUCAUACCACAUCUUUUUAUUUUUAUAAAAACGUAUGCAGGAGAACUAAAUCAAGAUGAUAAAAGUUUUAGUAAAAUGAUAGUUAAGUGGAAGUAAGCAGUUACUUCAAAUCAGGAAUAUGACAGUUAUCCGUUCGUUUGAUGUGUUCAUGCUCUUGAUUUUGCCAUUUGGUAGCGGAC
rnacentral:lncRNA from 1 species